rnacentral:rRNA from 1 species
GACGAACGCUGGCGGCGUGCUUAACACAUGCAAGUCGAGCGGUAAGGCCCUUUCGGGGGUACACGAGCGGCGAACGGGUGAGUAACACGUGGGUGACCUGCCCUCAGCUCUGGGAUAAGCCCGGGAAACUGGGUCUAAUACUGGAUAUGACUCCAUGACGCAUGUUGUGGGGUGGAAAGCCUUGUGCGGCUGAGGAUGGGCCCGCGGCCUAUCAGCUUGUUGGGGGGUGAUGGCCUACCAAGGCGACGACGGGUAGCCGGCCUGAGAGGGCGACCGGCCACACUGGGACUGAGACACGGCCCAGACUCCUACGGGAGGCAGCAGUGGGGAAUCUUGCGCAAUGGGCGAAAGCCUGACGCAGCGACGCCGCGUGAGGGA